rnacentral:lncRNA from 1 species
UCAGCUGUACCCAAUGGGAUGCCCCGAGGGGCGUGCGUGUUUUAAGGCCCGCCCACGCUCCCUUCCUCGGUCUGCCUACGGGCGUGGAAACUGCCGGAGUGCGGAAGAGAGCUGCUGCUUACCUGAUGUAGAUUUCUAGAUCAUUCCUCUAACCUACUCUAAUGUGUUGGUACCCUUGUGGUGACAAGAAGGUUUCCUAAACUGGACUCAUUCCCAGAGACGGCUAGGAAAAGCACACUAUUUGACAGGGAGUUGAAACGAGUGGAAUUUCCACACCAGUGGGAAGUUGAAGACAGAUCAAGAGCACUUUGUCUACUGCUCAUCCCUUAGCCAGGUCGUAUAGGUGAGAUGCAACCGGCAAGUGCUGAAAAUGAACAGACACAAAGGUUUACAAAACAACCCUGAAACCAAGACUCUCAAGCAGUAUUGAAGUUUCCUCUGAAGAAGAAAUCCUCAUUUUAUAAUCUUUCAACGCACUAUCCUGGAUAAUUUCUUUGCCGGAAGAAUUUUGUUUUUCUUUUUUGCUGGAAGAAUUUUGUUUUUCUUUUUUGCUUUCUCUCUCUCUUUCUCUCUCUCUCUUUCUUUUCCCAUUUUUAAGGAUUAGUUGACUCCUGACCCCUUUGUUUUGGGCAACUAUAUGGCAG